rnacentral:lncRNA from 1 species
AACAAAUACCGUAUUUAUUCUAUUUAAAGCCCCCCUUCUAAUUAACGCCCCUACCGAAAAUCGUGCGUUCAGAACUUUUGACUUCUAAUAAACGCCCCCAUUUUGUAGUUAAAAAAAUAAAAUUGAAACUAACCCAUUACAAUAUUGCAAAGACAUCGACCCGGUCACUCAGAAACAUGAAACGAAAAAUCAAUACUGCCCAUGUUUUAAUCCACUCCGAUAAUCCAACACAGUGUGUACAAGUUCCAAAAAUAGAUCUGUCAGUUAUACAGUACGCUGUUGAAAUUAUGUUCCAUUGAUGUGCACGAUUGUUCAUUCGAAAAUUUUAACAAAUUAUUUGGUGAGGUCACAUUACCGAUAAACGCUAUUUAUAGAUUAUGGAGACAAUAAGAAACACGUGUAUGUUACUAUAGUCUGUUUCAACAAAAUUCAGGUAAAGGUCAAUGAAGUAAGGUACGAAAUUCGUUUCUCUAAUUGACGCCCCCCCUUUCGGAAAUUGUGUUCGCCCCCGGGGCGUUUAUUAGAAUAAAUACGGUA